rnacentral:rRNA from 1 species
CCUACGGGUGGCAGCAGUGAGGAAUAUUGGUCAAUGGACGAGAGUCUGAACCAGCCAAGUAGCGUGAAGGAUGACUGCCCUAUGGGUUGUAAACUUCUUUUAUAUGGGAAUAAAAUGUUCCACGUGUGGGAUUUUGUAUGUACCAUAUGAAUAAGGAUCGGCUAACUCCGUGCCAGCAGCCGCGGUAAUACGGAGGAUCCGAGCGUUAUCCGGAUUUAUUGGGUUUAAAGGGAGCGUAGGUGGAUUGUUAAGUCAGUUGUGAAAGUUUGCGGCUCAACCGUAAAAGUGCAGUUGAAACUGGCAGUCUUGAGUACAGUAGAGGUUGGCGGAAUUCGUGGUGUAGCGGUGAAAUGCUUAGAUAUCACGAAGAACUCCGAUUGCGAAGGCAGUUCACUGGACUGCAACUGACACUGAGGCUCGAAAGUGUGGGUAUCAAACAGGAUUAGAUACCCUUGUAGUC